rnacentral:tRNA from 1 species
GUCAGUGUCGUCUAGCGGUUAGGACGCGAGCUUCACACGCUCGAGAUCGAGGGUUCGAUCCCCUCCUCUGAUA